rnacentral:rRNA from 1 species
UACGUAGGGGGCAAGCGUUGUCCGGAAUCAUUGGGCGUAAAGAGCGUGUAGGCGGCCCGAUAAGUCCGCUGUGAAAACUAGAGGCUUAACCUCUAGACGUCGAUGGAAACCGUCUGGCUAGAGUCCGGAAGAGGAGAAUGGAAUUCCUGGUGUAGCGGUGAAAUGCGCAGAUAUCAGGAAGAACACCCGUGGCUAAGGCGGUUCUCUAGUACGGUACUGACGCUGAGACGCGAAAGCGUGGGGAGCGAACAGG